rnacentral:tRNA from 1 species
GUCCACGUAGCUCAGUCGGUAGAGCGCCCGGCUUUUAACCGUGUGGUCGCGGGUUCGAUCCCCGCCGUGGGUG